GCCCUCUUGGCGGAAUUGGUAGACGCCAGGGACUUAAAAUCCCUUGUCCGUAUGGACGUGCCGGUUCGAGUCCGGCAGGGGGCACCA
rnacentral:tRNA from 1 species